ensembl:snRNA U6 U6 spliceosomal RNA
GUGCUCGCUUCAGUAGCACAUAUACUAAAAUUGGAAUGAUACAGAGAAGAUUAGGAUGGCUCCUGCACAAGGAUGACAUGCAAAUUCAUGAAGUGUUCCAUAUUUUU